UACGUAGGGUCCGAGCGUUGUCCGGAAUUACUGGGCGUAAAGAGCUCGUAGGCGGUUUGUUGCGUCGGCUGUGAAAUCCCGAGGCUCAACCUCGGGUCUGCAGUCGAUACGAGCAAACUAGAGUGUUGCAGGGGAGACUGGAAUUCCUGGUGUAGCGGUGAAAUGCGCAGAUAUCAGGAAGAACACCCGUGGCUAAGGCGGUUCUCUAGUACGGUACUGACGCUGAGACGCGAAAGCGUGGGGAGCGAACAGG
rnacentral:rRNA from 1 species